rnacentral:rRNA from 1 species
AUGCGACUCACCUCCUGGGUCGAGAAGAGUCCGGACUGGUGUUCACCUGACGAGCUGAUAGCGCUGCAGACGCGCGUUCAAAGCAUGGUAACCAAGAACGUCAAGCUCGUUGAUGUGAUCCAGGUGAUGCUAGUUCGCUGGAUCCUUCCGUGCCAGCGCCGAAGCCGCCCUCCGUGGGAGUUCAAUCCGAAGAAGCACCAGACCCUGGUGAGGCUCUUCGAGACUACUCACGAAGCUGCAUGGAAGUUGCUCUUUAAGGGCAAUGAGAAACCGCCGGCCGCAGAUUCAGAUCGCGGGCAUGACGCUAUACGCCUUGCUAGCGAGGUAUGUCAUUUUUUAUGCAUUCUCCACUUGUUUGUUUCAAGGAUGAUGCCU